rnacentral:lncRNA from 1 species
CACUUUGGGCCAUCUAGAGAGAAGAAGAGGGGUGGGAAGAAGAAAACGGGGAUAAAGGUGGGAUAAGUAGAAUAAAGGUGUAUGGGAUGGAGAGGGAAAUGUGGGCGGUGGGGGAAGAUUAAACAAGACGUGGGGGGAAUAUAUAGGGAAGAUAAGGUCGUCAGAUGGACUGGACUGGACUGUCAGGAUUGGGUUUUUGGUUAGGACAGGGACGGUUGGGUUGAGGUCGGUAUUGGUAUUUAAUUUUUCCCGGACGUAACGUGGGGUCAUGUGGACUUGGGCAAAGGGAAGGCCA